AUUGAACGCUGGCGGCAUGCCUUACACAUGCAAGUCGAACGGCAGCACGGGAGCAAUCCUGGUGGCGAGUGGCGAACGGGUGAGUAAAGUAUCGGAACGUGCCCAGUCGUGGGGGAUAACGUAGCGAAAGUUACGCUAAUACCGCAUACGAUCUAUGGAUGAAAGCGGGGGAUCGCAAGACCUCGCGCGAUUGGAGCGGCCGAUAUCAGAUUAGGUAGUUGGUGGGGUAAAGGCUCACCAAGCCGACGAUCUGUAGCUGGUCUGAGAGGACGACCAGCCACACUGGGAGUGAGACACGGCCCAGAAUCCUACGGGAGGCAGCGGUGGGGAAUUUUGGACAAUGGGCGCAAGCCCGAUCCAGCCAUGCCGCGUGCAGGAUGAAGGCCUUCGGGUUGUAAACUGCUUUUGUACGGAACGAAAAGGUUUGGCUUAAUACGUUGAACUCAUGACGGUACCGUAAGAAUAAGCACCGGCUAACUACGUGCCAGCCGCCGCCGUAA
rnacentral:rRNA from 1 species